rnacentral:rRNA from 1 species
CCUAUCUGGUUGAUCCUGCCAGUAGUCAUAUGCUUGUCUCAAAGAUUAAGCCAUGCAUGUCUAAGUACGAGCGUGUUUACACACGGUGAGACCGCGGACGGCUCAUUAAAUCAGUCGUGGUCCAUAAGGGCUAGAGUUAUUCUUACUUGGAUAACUGUGGUAAUUCCAGAGCUAAUACAUGCAACUUAUAUCCUGAUGUUGCGCCUCUCACGGGGUUGCGCUGACGGAUGCUUUUAUUAGACCAAACCACUGAGUGCUUACGGGCACUUCUCGUGUAAUGGUGACUCUGGAUAACCAUUUUGACAAGCGCACGUACCCUCUUUGUAGGGACGGCGCUGCCACUUUCGAGUGUCUGCCUUAUCAGCUAUCAAUCGUUCGUUAUGUGCGCACGAUGGCUUUGACGGGUAACGGGGAAUCAGAGUUCGAUUCCGGAGAGGCAGCCUGAGAGACGGCUACCACGUCCAAGGACGGCAGCAGGCACGCAAAUUACCCAAUCCCAGCAUCUGGGGGAGGUAGUGACGAAAUAUAACAAUGUGGGCGCCCUCUCUGGGGCCCCGCAAUUGGAAUGGCCAUUUUCUAAACAACCUGUCGAGAACCUACUGAAGGGCAAGUCUGGUGCCAGCAGCCGCGGUAAUUCCAGCUUCAGUAGCAUCUAUUAAAGUUGCUGCGGUUAAAAGGCUCGCAGUUGAAUGUCAGUAUCGAGCGCAGGCAGGUGGACGCUGGAGUGUGAACACUCAUCACGGCGUAGGGCGACGCGCGCACACAGUUCCCCGCCUCACCGUCACCUUCGCUUAGGCGUUGUUGGCGGCGGCAGUGUGUCUUGUGUUUUGUGUUUAGCCUUGCGUUGUUCACAUACUCCCGUCCGUAUCACGCCUCCUCGCUUGUGUACAUAAUGGAAGUCGUAAUUGUAUAAGGAGUGGCGGUAUUAGUAACAGGUGCCAGUGGGGUUGCGGUUGCGCGUGUGCGUGUGGUUCACGCCGCAUGUACUCUAACCGUGCCGCUUCUCACACACACUCCUGUGAAAGCUACCGUCGCUAAGCUCCUAAAAGGUUUCCUUGUCACCCUGAGUAAAUCAGAGUGCUUAAAGCAGUCGUAGGGGCGUUUUGUGCCCUUUGAACAGUCUUAACGGAUUGACUUGGUUUUGCAUGGCAUGUCGUAAGACGACGUCUAGCGCUGGCUAAGAGAUAAUACAGAGGUGGUACAAGCCAGCCUAGACGUAAUGAUUAAAAGGGAUAGUCGAGGGCAUUGGUAUUGCGAGGCGAGAGGUGAAAUUCUAUGACCCCCGCAAGACCUCCUGAAGCGAAAGUGUCUGCCAAGGAUGUUUUCAUUAAUCAUGAACGAAAGUUAGAGGAUCGAAGGCGAUCAGAUACCGCCCUAGUUCUAACCCUAAACGAUGCCAACCAUCAAUCCGCGUGUAGCACCCUUUUUAACGGGCUCGGCGGGCAGCUCUUCACUCACGGGAAACCAGAGUCUCUGGGUUCCGGGGGGAGUCUGGUUGCAAAGCUGAAACUUAAAGGAAUUGACGGAAAGGCACCACCAGGCGUGGAGCUGCGGCUUAAUUUGACUCAACACGGGCCAUCUCACCAGGCCAGCACUCUAGAACGAUUGACAGAUUGAGAGCUCUUUCUUAAUUUUGUGGAUGGUGGUGCAUGGCCGUUCUUAGUUGGUGGAGUGAUCUGUCUGGUUAAUUCCGAUAACGAACGAGACUCUCCCCUGCUAACUAGUCGGUUGGAUCCUGUUUGCAGCGCACGGCGCCGCAAGGUUCGUCUGCGCUGUGACGUUACGAGUUGUGCCCUUAGUAACUCUGGGCAUGGUCUGGUAAUCGGGGUUUGUUUGACUGUGUGUGUGUUGGUGUGUGUGUGUGUGUGUUUCGCGUGUGCCCUCGUGGUGUGCGUGUCGCUCACACGCGCUUGCGCGCGCUGGUCUCUCUUUCUUUCUGUGCUCCUUACUGUGUCUCUAGAGCUCUGCUUGGAUCGUACGCUCAAAGUCCGCCGUCUCAUGAUGAUAUGAAAUUCUUCUUAGAGGUAUUCACGGUACUGAAACCGUAAGAGACUGAGAGCAAUAACAGGUCUGUGAUGCCCUUAGAUGUUCUGGGCCGCACGCGCGCUACAAUGCCGGGCUCAGCAGGUUCUUAUCCUACUCCGAGAGGAGCGGGUAACCCUGUGAAAGCCCUUGCGUGUGUUUCUUUGUAUUCGCUUCGCGCCUUCGCCCUUGGGUGUUGGUGCGUUGCGGUGUUUGGCGUGAUUGGGCCUGGGUCUUGCAAUUUUUUCCCACAAACGAGGAAUGCCUUGUAGCGGCGAGUCACUGAGCUCGCCGUGACUCAGUUCCUGCCCUUUGUACACACCGCCCGUCGCUACUACCGAUUGGGUGUACCAGUGAGAGCCUUGGACUGGCGUCUGUUCUCGCCUUUGGUAACACAUUGGCUCGAUGAACGGGUCUGACGGAAAGAGGUUCGAACUGGUGCACUUAGAGGAAGUAAAAGUCGUAACAAGGUUUCCGUAGUGAACCUGCGGAAGGAUCAUUA